UGGGAAUUUUGGACAAUGGGCGAAAGCCUGAUCCAGCAAUGCCGCGUGUGUGAAGAAGGCCUUCGGGUUGUAAAGCACUUUUGUCCGGAAAGAAAUCCUCUGGGUUAAUACCUCGGGGGGAUGACGGUACCGGAAGAAUAAGCACCGGCUAACUACGUGCCAGCAGCCGCGGUAAUACGUAGGGUGCAAGCGUUAAUCGGAAUUACUGGGCGUAAAGCGUGCGCAGGCGGUUUUGUAAGACGGAUGUGAAAUCCCCGGGCUUAACCUGGGAACUGCAUUCGUGACUGCAAGGCUAGAGUAUGGCAGAGGGGGUAGAAUUCCACGUGUAGCAGUGAAAUGCGUAGAGAUGUGGAGGAAUACCGAUGGCGAAGGCAGCCCCCUGGGCCAAUACUGACGCUCAUGCACGAAAGCGUGGGGAGCAAACAGGAUUNGAUACCCUGGGUAGUCCACGCCCUAAAACGAUGUCAACUAGUUGUUGGGGAUUCAUUUCCUUAGUAACGUAGCUAACGCGUGAAGUUGACCGCCUGGGGAGUACGGUCGCAAGAUUAAAACUUAAAUGAAUUGACGGGGUCAUAGCU
rnacentral:rRNA from 1 species